GGGCUCGUGGUCUAGUGGUAUGACGUCUGCUUGACGUGCAGGAGGUCGCCAGUUCGAUUCUGGCCGGGCCCA
rnacentral:tRNA from 1 species